ensembl:lncRNA
UUUAUCCAAAGAAGUGCAUUUCAACCAUAAGGACUCAAACUCAGAAGAACAAGAAACAAGAAAGUACGAUUUCUUUAAAUAUGCCAAUUUACACUUUGCUGUAGAUAAGAGCCGUUAUAAGUACAAUGUAAGCAGUCUUUUAGUCUGGAGACGUGUGUCUAUAGUUUGCGGCAGAAGAAGAAGACUCUGCGGUCCUGAUCCGUUUACCAUGGAUCAGAUGUCAAUCAACAAGAAAUGGUCUUUGAUGGAGGUCCUGCCUGAAGUCCUCACUCAAUAAGCAGUUCUGUGUUCCUUUGGCAUCCUCUAGCCUAACAUGGCUGAAACUGCAGCCGGGGGGAGAUGGAGAUUUAAGUUACAGAGUGGACCUGGUGCAGACCUUCCUGCCAUCUUCUGAUGCUCAUUGCAGCUUCUCAAGCUGUACAGAUCACACAGCGGAAC